rnacentral:rRNA from 1 species
GACGAACGCUGGCGGCGUGCUUAACACAUGCAAGUCGAACGGAAAGGCCCUGCUUUUGUGGGGUGCUCGAGUGGCGAACGGGUGAGUAACACGUGAGUAACCUGCCCUUCACUUUGGGAUAACUUCAGGAAACUGGGGCUAAUACCGGAUAGGAGCUCCCGCUGCAUGGUGGGGGUUGGAAAGUUUCGGCGUGUGGGGAUGGACUCGCGGCUUAUCAGCUUGUUGGUGGGGUAGUUGCUUACCAAGGCUUUGGCGGGUAGCCGGCCUGUGUGGGUGACCGGGCACAUUGGGACUGCGGUACGGCCCAGAGUCCAACGGGAGGCAGCAGGGGGGAAUAUUGCACAAUGGGCGGAAGCCGGAUGCAGAAGCGCCGGGGUCGGGAAGACGGCCUUUGGGGUGUAAAACGCUUUAGCCUGUGACGAAGCGGUAGUGACGGUAAUGGGUAAAGAAGCACCGGCUAACUACGUG